rnacentral:rRNA from 1 species
AUUGAACGCUGGCGGCAGGCCUAACACAUGCAAGUCGAACGAGUGGCGGACGGGUGAGUAAUGUCUGGGAAACGGCCCGAUGGAGGGGGAUAACUACUGGAAACGGUAGCUAAUACCGCCUACCAUCGGAUGUGCCCAGAUGGGAUUAGCUGGUAGGUGGGGUAACGCGUUACCUAGGCGACGAUCCCUAGCUGGUCUGAGAGGAUGACCAGCCACACUGGAACUGAGACACGGUCCAGACGCCUCCGGGAGGCAGCAGUGGGGAAUAUUGCACAAUGGGCGCAAGCCUGACGCAGCCAUGCCGCGUGUAUGAAGAAGGCCUUCGGGUUGUAAAGUACGUUCAGCGAGGAGGCGUUACUCGCAGAAGAAGCACCGGCUAACUCCGUGCCAGCAGCCGCGGUAAUAC